GACGGAGGGUGCAAGCGUUGCUCGGAAUCACUGGGCGUAAAGGGCGCGUAGGCGGUCUGUUAAGUUCGGUGUGAAAGCCCCCGGCUCACCUGGGGAACUGCGCCGGAAACCGACAGACUCGAGUACCGGAGAGGAGGGUGGAAUUCCCGGUGUAGUGGUGAAAUGCGUAGAUAUCGGGAGGAACACCAGUGGCGAAGGCGGCUUUCUGGCCUGUUCUUGACGCUGAGGCGCGAAAGCUAGGGGAGCAAACGGG
rnacentral:rRNA from 1 species